rnacentral:rRNA from 1 species
AGCGAACGUUAGCGGCGGGCCUAACACAUGCAAGUCGAACGCGAAAGGUCUUCGGACUGAGUAGAGUGGCGCACGGGUGAGUAACACGUAGGUAAUCUACCCUUUGGCGGGGGAUAACGUUCCGAAAGGAGCGCUAAUACCGCAUAAGACCACGGAGUCUCCGGACGCUGUGGGAAAAGGUGGCCUCUUCUUGAAAGCUACCACCGAAGGAUGAGCCUGCGUCCCAUCAGCUAGUUGGUAAGGUAAUGGCUUACCAAGGCGAAGACGGGUAGCUGGUUUGAGAGAAUGAUCAGCCACACUGGCACUGGAACACGGGCCAGACUCCUACGGGAGGCAGCAGUGAGGAAUAUUGGGCAAUGGGCGAAAGCCUGACCCAGCCACGCCGCGUGAGUGAUGAAGGCCCUCGGGUCGUAAAGGCUCUGUGGAGAGGGACGAAAACCCUGGUUUCAAAUAGGCUCCAGGCUUGACGGUACCUCUUUAGCAAGCACCGGCUAACUCUGUGCCAGCAGCCGCGG